GGUAACUUAGUCUUAUAAUCACAAUUAAUGGAUCAAUUAUUCACUCAUCCGUGUAUUUUAAAAAGAAAAGUUAAUUUUAUCUUCCUGUCACCCCAACAGAAUAACUUUUGAAUUUAACUCAACUCAUUCCAACUUUGUUGUACUCAUACGUUAUCAAGAUCUAUAGGGUCUUCUUGUCUUCCAAUUCCAUUUCAGCCUUUUCACUGAAAAGUUAAAUUCAAUAAUGGUCCAAGUGAGACAGCUUGCACCUCGUCCAACCAUUCAUACCAGCCUUUAAUUAGAAGACUAAUGAUUAUGCUACCUUUGCACGGUCAAAAUACCGCGGCCCUUCAACCUUCAGUGGGCAGGUCAGACCUCUUACGCAACCAAGAGGCG
rnacentral:rRNA from 1 species